GUUGGGUGUGGUGGUGAACACCUGUAGUCCCAGCUACUUGGGAGGCUGAGGUGGGAGGAUCACUUGGGCCUGGGAGGUCAAGGCUAUAGUGAGUCAUGAUUUUGCCACUGUACUCCAGCCUGGGCAACAGAGUGAGACCCUGUCUCAU
rfam:Homo sapiens chromosome 3, GRCh38 reference primary assembly.